GGGGCCUGUUAGGCAUUGACUGAUUGAUACUGGUGAACAUGAACAGCUGUAAAAUGCUGUAAAAGCUAUUUUUGAUGCAUAUCCUGAUGAUGAUCCGGAGGGAUUGAAACAUCGAUUGAAUCAUUCUUUUGAAGUAUCAUGCUGCUAAGUAUGAAAUAAACACAAUAUUUUUUUAAGUGCCAAACUUGCUGGAGGAGCGGGUUAACAGCGGCGGCAGGGACGCCCGCGGUCGCCCAGCAACCAGUGACGUCAUUUCCUGGUAACGCGAGGUGAACACACACCGGAAGCCCUGCUGAACGCCAGUCCCUGCAGCUCCGUGGCACGGUCUUGUCCACAUAUAAGGAGGAGCGGGUUAACAGCGGCGGCAGGGACGCCCGCGGUCGCCCAGCAACCAGUGACGUCAUUUCCUGGUAACGCGAGGUGAACACACACCGGAAGCCCUGCUGAACGCCAGUCCCUGCAGCUCCGUGGCACGGUCUUGUCCACAUAUAAGGUAUCCUUCAAAAUUACACUGUUUGCAGAUCUCCAGCUACAUUUAUUUCCAGUGCAUCGCUGAAAAUAGUUUAUUACUUCAGAUAUACUGAUAAUGAGUAAAUAAGACGCUGACACUCUUUUACUUGUUUUCUGUUUUUUAACACAUGCUAUUUUUAUAUUUGUACAUUGUCACAAUAUGUUAUAUUGUUAUGCACACAUUGAAUGUUGUAUAUUUGACUUUUAUACAUGUAUUUGAUCAACAUUAUAUUGCACCUAAUUUCACCCAUUGUAACCACUUCUGAUCUGACAAUUUGGAAGGUGGAACCAUCUUAUUGUUUGCUGUAUUUAACACCCAUCAUUUAGAUGGACUGUAUGCAGAUGAAAGGGUUCAAGCAUAAACUCUGAAAUGUUGACCUGAAAA